UGUGGGUCCUAUGGGUCUCUAUGGGGUCUCUAUGGGGUCUCUAUGGGGUCGCUGUGGGGUCUCUGUGGGGUCUUUGUGGGGUCUCUGUGGGUCCCAUGGGUCCUAUGGGGUCGCUGUGGGGUCUCUAUGGGGUUGCUGUGUGGUCUCUGUGGGUCCUAUGGGGUCCCUAUGGGUCCCAUGGGUCUCUAUGGGGUCUCUAUGGGGUCGCUGUGGGGUGUCUAUAGGUCCCAUGGGUCUCUAUGGGGUCUCCAUGGGGUCUCUGUGGGUCGCUGUGGGUCCUAUGGGGUCUCUAUGGGGUCUCUAUGGGGUCUCUAUGGGGUCACUGUGGGGUCUCUAUGGGGUCGCUGUGUGUCUCAUGGGUCCCUAUGGGGUCUCUAUGGGGUCUCUAUGGGGUCUUUGUGGGGUCUCUGUGGGUCCCAUGGGUCUCUAUGGGGUCUCUAUGGGUCCCAUGGGUCUCUAUGGGGUCUCUAUGGGGUCUCUAUGGGGUCGCUGUGGGUCCUAUGGGGUCCCAUGGGUCUCUAUGGGGUCCCUAUGGGUCCCAUGGGUCUCUAUGGGUCUCUGUGGGGUCUCUAUGGGGUGUCUAUAGGUCCCAUGGGUCUCUAUGGGGUCGCUGUGGGGUCGCUGUGGGUUCACUGUGGGUCCAAUGGGUCCUAUGGGUCCUAUGGGGUCUCUUGGGUCUCUAUAGGGCUCAAUCAUCUUUAUGGGGAUCUCUGUGGGUCCUAUGGGUCUCUAUGGGGUCGCUGUGGGUCUCUAUGGGGUCCCUAUGGGUCCCAUGGGUCUCUAUGGGGUCUCUGUGGGGUCUCUGUGGGGUCUCUAUGGGGUCGCUGUGGGUUCUCUGUGGGUCCUAUGGGGUCCCUAUGGGGUCCCUAUGGGUCUCUAUGGGGUCUCUAUGGGGUUGCUGUGGGUCCAAUGGGUCCUAUGGGAUCGCUAUGGGGUCUGUGUCGGUCCUAUGGGGUCCCAUGGGUCCUAUGGGUCUCUAUGGGGUCUUUGUGGGGUCUCUAUGGGUCCCAUGGGUCUCUAUGGGGUUGGUGUGGGGUCUCUGUGGGUCCUAUGGGGUCUCUCUGUGGGGUCUCUAUGGGGUCCCUAUGGGUCCCAUGGGUCCUAUGGGGCCUCUAUGGGGUCUUUGUGGGGUCUCUGGGGGGCUUCUGGGGGUCUCUAUGGGGUUUCAUGGUCUCUAUGGGGUCUCUAUGGGGCUUCUGGGGGUCUCUAUGGGGUCUCUAUAGGGUCCAAUCAUCUCUAUGGGGUCUCUAUGGGUCCCAUGGGUCUCUAUGGGGUCUCUAUGGGGUCGCUGUGGGUCCUAUGGGGUCUCUAUGGGGUCUCUGUGGGUCUCUAUGGGGCUUCUGGGGGUCUCUAUGGGGUUUCAUGGUCUCUGUGGGGUCUCUAUGGGGCUGGAAUUUCUUUUUCUUUUUCUUUUUUAUAUAUUUUUACAUUUUUUUAAUUAUUUUUUUAAAUUUUUAAUUAUUUUUUAAUUUUUUAAUUAUUUUUAUUUUUUUUUUAAUUAUUUUUUUUUUCGAUUUUUCUUCCCUUUCCCGUCCCCAUGCGUCACCCCCGCGGGGAACCGAUAACGACGAGGUUCUGAUUAUUUUGGUGUUAAUUUUUCUUUUUUUGGGUCUGUUUCCCUACACGGUAAGCCUGCUCCUUGAAAUAAUUCCAAGAUUGGGUAUUUUAAAGGAAAAAAAAAAAAAAAAAAUCAGGUGGC
rnacentral:lncRNA from 1 species